CUGCAGAAUUCGCCCUUAGAGUUUGAUCCUGGCUCAGAUUGAACGCUGGCGGCAGGCCUAACACAUGCAAGUCGAGCGAGAAAGGCCCUUCGGGGCUGAGUACAGCGGCGGACGGGUGAGUAACGCGUAGGAAUCUACCCGGUAGUGGGGGACAACUCGGGGAAACUCGAGCUAAUACCGCAUACGCCCUUAGGGGGAAAGCGGGGGACCUUCGGGCCUCGCGCUAUCGGAUGAGCCUGCGUCGGAUUAGCUAGUUGGUAGGGUAAAGGCCUACCAAGGCGACGAUCCGUAGCUGGUCUGAGAGGACGAUCAGCCACACUGGGACUGAGACACGGCCCAGACUCCUACGGGAGGCAGCAGUGGGGAAUAUUGCGCAAUGGGGGAAACCCUGACGCAGCCAUGCCGCGUGUGUGAAGAAGGCUCUAGGGUUGUAAAGCACUUUCACUUGGGAGGAAACGCCCAUCGUUAAUACCGGUGGGACUUGACGUUACCUUGAGAAGAAGCACCGGCUAACUCCGUGCCAGCAGCCGCGGUAAUACGGAGGGUGCGAGCGUUAAUCGGAAUUACUGGGCGUAAAGCGCGCGUAGGCGGCCUGUUAAGUCGGAUGUGAAAGCCCCGGGCUCAACCUGGGAACUGCAUUCGAUACUGGCAGGCUUGAGUAC
rnacentral:rRNA from 1 species